UGGGGGACGGUUAAAAAAGGUUUACGUGCAAGUCCACAUUUUUUAGUUCUAGUUUUCGUAUAUAUAUAUAUAUAUCUAUAUAUAUAUCUAUAUAUAUAU
rnacentral:ribozyme from 1 species